AUGUAUCGGUUGAUUGCUUUGUAUACAAAGCGGGGAAAAUCCUUUUUCGGCAAGCCGCAAAAACCUACUGCACACUAUUUUCUCCAACCUCUGGAUCUUCAGAGUUCUAUAAAAUCCAGCUCCACCCCCAUAUUCUCCCUCACUCUCCAUCGACCAAUCCCCUACCUCGCUCUUCCUCUCUCCCUCCUAUCUAUCCAGAUUCCUGCCGAGUUCACGAUGGAGUUCACGCUGAAAAGCACCGAGGUGCUGGAGAAGGCUGCCACUCUGGCCGCCGACGCCCUCGGCUUGGAAGGAGAAGCUCGCGGUGCUUGGGGGACCGAGGAGAAGGCGAGGGCGCUCGAACGCUGGGCCAAGAUAUGUCUGGAGGUGGAGUAG
rnacentral:rRNA from 1 species